rnacentral:rRNA from 1 species
ACACGUAGGGGCCUGACGUUGUUCGGAAUCAUUGGGCGUAAAGGGCGCGCAGGCGGCCGUCCAAGUCCGGUGUUAAAUGGUCGGGCUCAACCCGAUCAUGCGCUGGAAACUGGGCGGCUUGAGUCCCGUAGGGGAUGCCGGAAUUCCAGGUGUAGGGGUGAAAUCUGUAGAUAUCUGGGAGAACACCGAGGGCGAAGGCAGGCAUCUGGCCGGAGACUGACGCUGAGGCGCGAAGGCGCGGGGAGCGAACAGGUUUAGAUACCCUGGUAGUCCGCGCAGUAAACGAUGCGCACCAGGUGUCGGGCGGCAGCGCCCGGUACCGGAGCUAACGCGAUGAGUGCGCCGCCUGGGGAGUAUGCCCGCAAGGGUGAAACUCAAAGGAAUUGACGGGG